CCUACGGGUGGCAGCAGUGAGGAAUAUUGGUCAAUGGACGAGAGCCUGAACCAGCCAAGUAGCGUGAAGGAUGAAUGCCCAAUGGGUUGUAAACUUCUUUUAUAUGGGAAUAAAAUGUGCCACGUGUGGCCUUUUGUAUGUACCUUAUGAAUAAGGAUCGGCUAACUCCGUGCCAGCAGCCGCGGUAAUACGGAGGAUCCGAGCGUUAUCCGGAUUUAUUGGGUUUAAAGGGUGCGUAGGUGGGUUGUUAAGUCAGUUGUGAAAGUUUGCGGCUCAACCGUAAAAUUGCAGUUGAAACUGGCAGUCUGGAGUACAGUAGAGGUGGGCGGAAUUCGUGGUGUAGCGGUGAAAUGCUUAGAUAUCACGAAGAACUCCGAUUGCGAAGGCAGUUCACUGGACUGCAACUGACACUGAGGCUCGAAAGUGUGGGUAUCAAACAGGAUUAGAUACCCUUGUAGUC
rnacentral:rRNA from 1 species